rnacentral:rRNA from 1 species
UAACCCGCACCACUAAUCGUGGUGGGAGACAGUGUCAGGUGGGCAGUUUGACUGGGGCGGUCGCCUCCUAAAAAGUAACGGAGGCGCCCAAAGGUUCCCUCAGAAUGGUUGGAAAUCAUUCGCAGAGGGUAAAGGCACAAGGGAGCUUGACUGCGAGACAGACAGGUCGAGCAGGGACGAAAGUCGGGCUUAGUGAUCCGGUG